UCGUCCGUCGCGCGUGCGCGGGUCUAGAUUUCCUCGAUCCGAUGGUCUUUGACCAUGGGCUUGGAACAUCGCCUCGCUGGUGUGAACGUCUCGCGUCAGAUGAGCCCGAAGCCUGGCUGACCUCGCCCACCUGAACGUUCCCCAUGGGUUCUUCAGGAAUGCGACCCCCGGGCGCGCGGCGGACACC
rnacentral:sRNA from 1 species